ensembl:lncRNA
GCGAGGAUGCCUGAAGAAAGGGAACCAAAUGCUGGCAAAGAACCCCCGAAACUGGUGCUUCUGGUUUUGAUCAGAUACCCUCUCUAGUUUAAUAAGGGUGGGGACGAGGCUUCCCAGGGCAGCUGCGAGGCAGGCAAGUUCUCAAGGAAACUGAAUGGAAUUAAGGAAGAAGGGCUUUCUCCAAACAAAAAGAGACAGCGCUGAGCCAGGGCGCACGUUCUGAGCGAGAGCCGGGCGUCUCCGUGUUAUUUUAUGAAGAAAUAAAGAAGGGAAAAGCUGAGGUAAUUUACCUGCUCGGAAAACCUCAAGACAGAUAUGCUCUGUCACAGGGAGGCUGGUCUCCCACAGGACAGGAAGUGAGCAGCUUCAGGAGGCUCAGCAACUCCUCCACCCCCACCCCGUGUCCUAGGGUCCAAGAUGCUCCAGGAAGGGUUCUUGUCUCUAG